rnacentral:tRNA from 1 species
AGUAAAAAUUGAAUCGGCACUUUGAUUCGUAAUCAGUAGGUCGGGGGUUCAAAUCCCCCUGCUG